rnacentral:rRNA from 1 species
GGCCGCGGGAUUAGAGUUUGAUCCUGGCUCAGAUUGAACGCUGGCGGCAGGCCUAAUACAUGCAAGUCGAGCGGAAACGAUGGGAGCUUGCUCCCAGGCGUCGAGCGGCGGACGGGUAAGUAACGCGUAGGAAUUUGCCCAAUAGAGGGGGAUAGCCCGAGGAAACUCGGAUUAAUACCGCAUACGCCCUACGGGGGAAAGGCUGGGAUCUUCGGACCAGCCACUAUUGGAGAAGCCUGCGUAAGAUUAGCUUGUUGGUGGGGUAAAGGCCUACCAAGGCGACGAUCUUUAGCUGGUCUGAGAGGAUGAUCAGCCACACUGGGACUGAGACACGGCCCAGACUCCUACGGGAGGCAGCAGUAGGGAAUAUUGGACAAUGGGGGCAACCCUGAUCCAGCCAUGCCGCGUGUGUGAAGAAGGCCUUCGGGUUGUAAAGCACUUUCAGUAGGGAGGAAGGCUCUAUGGUUAAUAGCUAUGGGGAUUGACGUUACCUACAGAAGCAGCACCGGCUAACUCCGUGCCAGCAGCCGCGGUAAUACGGAGAGUGCAAGCGUUAAUCGGAAUUACUGGGCGUAAAGCGCGCGUAGGCGGUUUGAUAAGUUGGAUGUGAAAGCCCAGGGCUCAACCUUGGAACUGCAUUCAAAACUGUCAGGCUAGAGUACUGUAGAGGGGGGUAGAAUUUCA